ACAAUUCCUUCUGUUAGGGGUUUAGUAUUAUACCAUCAUAAAAUAUAUGAGAAGAACAUAACCCGUGUCAUGCCAACAACUGGUUUUAGAAUAAAUGUGUUUAAUUCCGAUGCAAAGACCCUAUAAGUGAAUCAAUAUUAAAGCCAUCAUAUGCAAUCUUUAAUGACCUGACAACAGUAUCGUAACGAUAUCCCUUCUUAAUAAGU
rnacentral:lncRNA from 1 species